rnacentral:rRNA from 1 species
UACGGGGGGGGCAAGCGUUUGUUCGGAAUUACUGGGCGUAAAAGGCGCGUAGGCGGUUGAUUAAGUCCCGUGUGAAAUCCCUCGGCUCAACUGAGGAACUGCACGGGAAACUGGUCGGACUUGAGUUCGGGAGAGGGAAGGCGGAAUUCCGGGUGUAGCGGUGGAAUGCGCCAGAUAUCAGGAGGAACACCGGUGGCGAAGGCGGGUCUCUGGGCCGAUACUGACGCUGAGGAGCGAAAGCGUGGGGGAGCGAACAGG